ensembl:lncRNA
AUUGUCAACCAUGUGUAAAGUUAAAAUAUAUGCAUGUACAAUGCAAAAUAAUUACUACAGCAUAUAUUUAUUGGACUGUUUGGCGUUUUUCUCAAUUUUCAGACUACACAGUGUGAUUCCAGAGGUGUCUUGGGCUGGGAGGCAGUUGAUGCCCUGGCAGCCUACUUGGUUGGCCUAAACCGAACGAUCACUGCCUUGUCAUCACAAGAGGAGGCCAACAUAGUCCAGCUGUACAUGGCUCUGCAUGCCAUGGACAAGGUACCAUCAAAAUAUAGCCAGAGGGUUAAGAAGAAGGCUUUGACAGGACCUUGGAGAGCAUCCAGGAAGCAGAGUGGCUCUGCUCCAGGACAGCAGGCAGCAGAGAGGUACCAUCAAAAUAUAGCCAGAGGGUUAAGAAGAAGGCUUUGACAGGACCUUGGAGAGCAUCCAGGAAGCAGAGUGGCUCUGCUCCAGGACAGCAGAGAGGUUCAAGAUUCAAGAUUUUUAUUUGUCACAUACAUGGUUAUAUGAAGAGCAAAUGACCAGCAGUGAAAUGAAAGUCAGGUCCGCUCCAUGGAAAGUGCGAUUAUUAAAGAACACAAACACAAGAAAAUUAUACAAAAAAAUAUGUUACGGAAAAAGAUAAAAAAAAGAAAAUAAGAUGCUUAUAAAAAAAAAUGUGCAGGACAGUAUACUGUAGAUUUAAUAAAUAUUAAGAUGAGCAGGAAUGUACA